AAAUAGAUUCUUUCGAGGAGGGCAAAGAGACAUGGGAACAUUACUGUGAGCGUCUGGGACAUUAUUUCAUAGCAAAUGGCAUCGGUGACACCGAAGAGGCGGAUAAAAAAAGAGGCGGUCUAUUUUGCUCAGUGUGUGUGGCAGUAAAAUAUAUAAGCUGAUGAGUGACCUAUUAGCACCAAAUAAACCAGGUACGAAAACUUUUGAUGAACUUGUAAAAUUAGUGCAAGAUCAUUAUGCACCCAAACCCUCGGAAAUAGUCCAAAGAUUCAAAUUCCAUAAUCGUUUUCGCAGACCAGGAGAGUCUGUGGCCUCGUUUGUGGCCGAAUUACGUCAUUUAACGGAACAUUGCAAUUUUGGUGCGGCUAUUGAAGUGAUGAUUAGGGACCGUCUGGUUUGCGGGAUCAUGGACGAUAAGAUACAGAGACGCCUGCUAGCGGAGAAGGAUUUGACUUUAAAGAAAGCAUAUGAAACUGCAAUAUCAAUGGAAACUGCAGCGAAGGGAGUACUUGAUCUACAGAGUGGAACUCCACAUGCUGAAACUGUAAACAAAGUGAGUGAUGGUGAAAAACCACAAAAAGACAAAAGUAGCAUAAAGUGUUAUUAUUGUCACUUGUUUGGACACUUUGCCGCAGAGUGUAGGAAAAAGAAGGCCGACCAAGUCGCUAAUCGGGGAAAAGGAAGAGGAAACUCGAGAGGCAAUUUUUGGAGUAACAAACCAAGGGAUCAGUUCAGAAGAGAAAAGGUGCACAAUGUAUGUGAUACACCUGAUGAAGAAGAAGACCCCACUGAGUAUACCUUGUAUCAUAUGAUGGAGCCGGGCAAGCAGCCACCAUAUCGUGUGUUUUUAGCAUUGAAUGGAGUAGAUCAGUCUAUGGAGUUGGAUACGGGAGCCAGUAAGACCGUGAUUAGUGAAGAAGUAUACAAGACUUUAUGUAAAUCUGACUCUCGGUUGAACUUAGAACCUUCAUGCACAAAAUUGCGUACUUACACUGGGGAACUUAUUCCCAUCCUAGGAACAGUACAGUUGAUUGUGAAGUACAAAGAUAAACAGUAUGAUCUGAAAGCAGAAGUGGUAAAAGGGAAGACACCGUGUUUACUUGGCCGUGAUUGGCUUGAUGUCAUUAAACUGUGCUGGGAUGAAGUAUUUCAGAUUAAAACAGAAGUACAGUCUGAUGUGGAACAGAUUCUGAAAAAAUAUGAAGUUGUGUUCAAGAAAGAAUUGGGGACAGUCCAAGGAGUGAAAGCAAAAAUAUAUGUUGACUCUCAGGAAAAACCGAGAUACUUUAAAAGUCGUUCACCACCUUUUGCCUUGAAAGAGAAAAUUGAACACGAGUUGGACAGAUUAGUUCGUGAAGGAACUGUUACACCUGUAGAGUUUUCAGAGUGGGCAACGCCUAUCGUACCAAUAGUAAAGAGCGACAAGACCGUACGUAUUUGCGGUGAUUAUAAAGUCACAGUGAAUAGAGUUUCGAAGCUGGACAACUAUCCUAUUCCAAAAACGGAGGAUCUAUUUGCAAUAUUAGGGGGUGGCGAACAUUUUUCCAAACUCGACCUGAGUCAAGCCUAUCAGCAGUUAGAGUUAGAUGAGGAAUCCAAGAAAUACACCACUAUUAACACACAUAAGGGGCUUUUUCAGUAUAAUCGUCUACCUUUCGGAAUCUCAUCUGCUCCUGGCAUAUUUCAGAGAACUAUUGAAAACCUGCUCCAGGGCAUAUCCAGUGUUAUUGUUCGAUUAGAUGAUAUACUUGUGACUGGAAAAACCCGUGGUGAACAUUUACAAAAUCUUGCGGAAGUGUUAAAGAAGUUGGAAGCAGCGGGAGUUCGACUGAAAAGAGAGAAGUGUGUUUUCUUGGCAGAUGAAGUUACAUACCUUGGACAUCGCAUAAAUAAGCAUGGAAGACAGCCAACUGAAGACAAGGUGCAAGCGAUCAAGAACUUACCUGAACCAAAUAACGUUAAAGAAUUACAGGCUUUUCUUGGAAUGCUUAACUACUAUGGUUGCUACUUACCAAAUCUGUCAACUGUAUUAGCACCAUUACAUGAACUCUUAGGAAAAGAUGUUGCAUGGUCUUGGGGUCCUAAACAGUCAAACGCAAUGCAGGAGUCAAAAAACCUUUUGAGAUCUUCAUCUAUACUAGUUCAUUUUGAUUCAGCCAAGAAGCUUGUCAUGUCCUGUGAUGCCUCGCCAACUGGGUUGGGUGUUGUGUUGUCACACAUUACAGAAGAAGGAGAGAAGCCAAUAGCUUAUGUGUCACGAACCCUGGCACCAGCAGAAAAGAACUACUCUCAGUUGGAAAAGGAGGGACUUGCAAUUAUAUUCGGAGUGAAAAAAACUUCAUCAGUACCUGUAUGGUCAUCAUUUUGUUAUCUAUACUGACCACAAACCAUUAUUGGGCCUGUUUAAACCUGACCGAGCCAUUCCAACCAUGGCUGCCGCUCGAAUUCAGAGAUGGGCUCUGAUCCUGGCCGGAUACGAGUAUGAAAUAUUGUACAAGGAGGGUAAGAAGAAUGGUAAUGCAGAUUGUUUGAGUCGUCUUCCACUCAAGGAGAGUGUGGAUGUACCUGUACCGGGGGAGACUAUUUUACUCAUUGAACACUUAAACAGUACACCAGUACAUGCUGAAGAAAUUGAAGAAUGGACACAGUUGGACCCACUCCUGCGUCAAGUAACCUUUUGUAUAAAGAAUGGAUGGAAAGAGAAAAAUAAGGAUGAGGAACUUCGUCCUUAUUUUAACAGACGAAACGAACUAAGUGCUCAUGAAGGGUGUAUUCUAUGGGGAAGUCGUGUGGUGAUCCCAGAACCAGGAAGAGAAAAAUUAUUGGAUUUGUUGCAUGAAGGACAUCCUGGAAUAGUCAGGAUGAAAAACCUGGCAAGGAGCUACUUGUGGUGGCCAGGAAUUGAUGAAGCUAUUGAGACCAAAGUACAGGGAUGUGAAGAUUGCCAGGCACAAAGCGCCAUGCCGGCAGUGGCGCCCUUGCAUCCCUGGGAAUGGCCAGAUCGACCCUGGUCUAGAGUACAUGCAGAUUAUGCAGGACCUUUUAUGGGAUCCAUGUUUUUGAUCCUAAUUGACGCUUAUAGCAAGUGGAUUGAGGUCUAUAAGUCAUCUUCUUCUACAUCUGAAGUGACCAUCGAAAAAUUCAGACAGGCAUUUGCAACACAUGGAAUCCCUGAUGUACUUGUUACGGACAAUGGGACCUGUUUUACAAGUCAUGAAUUUUCCUGUUUUACAUCGGAGAAUGGUAUUCUACAUGUGAAGACCUCACCAUACCACCCCGCAUCCAAUGGGUUGGCUGAGCGGGCUGUUCGAAUUUUUAAGGAAGGGAUGAAGAAGAUGGAUAAAGGCCCUGGAUCAUUGAUGACCAAGUUGCAAAGGUUUUUGUUAAACUACCGAACAACUCCACAUACUACGACUGGUGUAACUCCAGCAGAACUCCUCAUGAAUAGGAAAUUACGAACAAAGCUAGACUUCGUCAAACCUGAAAUUCGAGAACGAGUAGAAAAUCGACAGAAGAAAUUCAAGCACUACCAUGAUGCACAUGCAAAAGGACGAACCUUUAUGGAAGGAGAUGCCGUUAUUGUGAAAAGUUUUCCAAGUGGACAGUGGAAAUGUGGGGAAAUAACACAAAAGACAGGACCAGUAUCAUACAGAGUCGCACUACCAGACGGAGGAAUCGCACGCAGACAUGUCGAUCAUAUCAAGCAGCGACAUUUUAAACCAUCUAUGGAACUGGACAAUCCUGAUGGAAGCGACUAUACUCAUACCCCAGUAACCAUAGAAGAGAGUCCUACAUCCAAAGCAUCCGACUGCGAGUCCGUGACCGAUACGACUUUACCAUUAUCCACUACAUGUACUUCAACAUCGUCCAGCGCUCCAAGCGUAACCAGUCCACGCAGAUCAUCUCGUUCUGUUAAAAAACCAGCCUAUCUGGACGACUACGUAACUCCAUAAAUAAACUGUUGAAAUGGAAGGGACAGAUUUGUGCCUUUAUGUUGUGUGUACCCACCUUUUGAACUGUUAAAGUUAACGAUAUAAUAACUAUAAUUUUGAAGAUAUUGCAUAUACUGAUAUAUAUGUAAGUAGUUUUAAUAUGUUUUAUUUACAGUUGAUGAUCUAGUCAAAAUCAUUAUGAAAUUAACUUAAAGGGGGAGGAAUGUAGUAUUCCGGAAUUGUCUUUGUCUUAUCAUGUUGGUUUUGUCUGUUAUUUGUCAUUGUAUGUUUUCCGCCCUAAUAAACUACAUGUGUUU
rnacentral:sRNA from 1 species